CAGUCGCCACGGGAAUACGAAGGGUGCAAGCGUUAUCCGGAAUUAUUGGGCGUAAAGAGCUCGUAGGCGGUUUGUCGCGUCUGCCGUGAAAGUCCGGGGCUCAACCCCGGAUCUGCGGUGGGUACGGGCAGACUAGAGUGAUGUAGGGGAGACUGGAAUUCCUGGUGUAGCGGUGAAAUGCGCAGAUAUCAGGAGGAACACCGAUGGCGAAGGCAGGUCUCUGGGCAUUAACUGACGCUGAGGAGCGAAAGCAUGGGGAGCGAACAGGAUUAGAUACCCCCGUAGUCCCUGUCUCUUAUAC
rnacentral:rRNA from 1 species